rnacentral:rRNA from 1 species
AAUAGCGUAUAUUAAAGUUGUUGCAGUUAAAAAGCUCGUAGUUGGAUUUCUGGUAGGAGUGACCGUGCCAGACUUGAUUGUCUGUGUAUUGUGUUGUCUCCAGCCAUCCUUGUGGAGAACUUUUCUUGCAUUAAUUUGUAGGGAUUGGGACCCGCAUCGUUUACUGUGAAAAAAUUAGAGUGUUUAAAGCAGGCAAUCGCUUGAACACAUCAGCAUGGAAUAAUAAGAUAGGACUUUGGUACUAUUUUGUUGGUUUGCAUACCAAAUUAAUGAUCAACAGGAACAGUUUGAGGAUAUUCGUAUGAACAUGUCAGAGGUGAAAUUCUUGGAUUUUGAUCAGACGAACUACUGCGAAAGCAUUUAUCAAGGAUGCUUUCAUUAA